UACGGAGGGGGCUAGCGUUGUUCGGAAUUACUGGGCGUAAAGCGCACGUAGGCGGCUUUGUAAGUUAGAGGUGAAAGCCCAGGGCCUAACCCUGGAAUUGCCUUUAAGACUGCAUCGCUAGAAUCGUGGAGAGGUAAGUGGAAUUCCGAGUGUAGAGGUGAAAUUCGUAGAUAUUCGGAAGAACACCAGUGGCGAAGGCGACUUACUGGACACGUAUUGACGCUGAGGUGCGAAAGCGUGGGGAGCAAACAGG
rnacentral:rRNA from 1 species